rnacentral:rRNA from 1 species
UACGAAGGGGGCUAGCGUUGUCCGGAAUUAUUGGGCGUAAAGAGCUCGUAGGCGGUUUGUCGCGUCUGCUGUGAAAACCCGAGGCUCAACCUCGGGCCUGCAGUGGGUACGGGCAAACUAGAGUGCGGUAGGGGAGAUUGGAAUUCCUGGUGUAGCGGUGGAAUGCGCAGAUAUCAGGAGGAACACCAAUGGCGAAGGCAGAUCUCUGGGCCGUAACUGACGCUGAGGAGCGAAAGCAUGGGGAGCGAACAGG